AGGGAAUUUUCCACAAUGGACGAAAGUCUGAUGGAGCAACGCCGCGUGCAGGAUGAAGGCCUUCGGGUUGUAAACUGCUUUUAUAUGUGACGAUUAUGACGGUAGCAUAUGAAUAAGGAUCGGCUAACUCCGUGCCAGCAGCCGCGGUCAUACGGAGGAUCCAAGCGUUAUCCGGAAUUACUGGGCGUAAAGAGUUGCGUAGGUGGCAUUGUAAGUUUGUAGUGAAAGCGUGUGGCUCAACCAUAUACACAUUACAAAAACUGCAAAGCUAGAAGAUGAGAGAGGUGCCUGGAAUUCCCAGUGUAGGGGUAAAAUCCGUAGAUAUUGGGAGGAACACCGAUGGCGUAAGCAGGGUGCUGGCUCAUUCUUGACACUAAGGCACGAAAGCGUGGGGAGCAAAC
rnacentral:rRNA from 1 species